rnacentral:rRNA from 1 species
ACAGAGGGUGCGAACGUUGUUCGGAAUUACUGGGCGUAAAGAGCGUGUAGGCGGCUCUGCAAGUCGGGCGUGAAAUCCCACGGCUCAACCGUGGAAGUGCACUCGAAACUGCAGAGCUAGAGUCCUGGAGAGGAAGGUGGAAUGCUUGGUGUAGAGGUGAAAUUCGUAGAUAUCAAGCGGAACACCGGUGGCGAAGGCGGCCUUCUGGACAGUGACUGACGCUUAAGCGCGAAAGCGUGGGGAGCAAACGGGA